AUAAAGUUUAAUUCUAGCUUAAAAAUUCAUUUAAUUUUUUCUUUACAUGUAAAUUUUUUUGUGUAUAUAAUUAAAUUUAAAUAAUUUAAUUUUUAUAUUUUAUUCGCAGUAUUUAAUUUUAAUAAUUUAAGAAAUUAAGAAUUAGAAAUAAAUUUUAGUAUUAACAAAUUUUGUGCCAGCAGUUGCGGUUAAACAAAAGAUAUAAAUGAAUUUUUUUAGCAAAUAAUUAUAUGAAUAUUAAUAUAUAAAUUAAAAUUAUAUUUAUUAGGUGAAAUUUUAAUUAUAAAAUUAAUUUAUAAAAAAGUUUUUAAUAUUAUGAAAUUUAUAUUUAAACUAGGAUUAGAUACCCUAUUAUUUUAAAUGUAAAAUUUAAUUGCUAAAGUAGUAUUAGUUAUGUUCUUGAAAUUUAAAGAUUUUGGCGGUAUUUUAGUCUAUUUAGAGGAACCUGUUCUGUAAUUGAUAAUCCACGAUUAACUUUACUUAUUUUAUUAAUUUGUAUACCGUCGUUAUAGAAAAUUUUAAUAGAAGAUAAAUUUUUAAUAUUUUAUAUUAAAAAAUAUAUCAGAUCAAGGUGCAGUUUAUAUUUAAGAAGAAAUGGGUUACAAUAAAUUUAUUUAUUAUGAAUUGAAAUUAGAAUAUAUUUCAUGAAGGUGGAUUUAAUAGUAAUAAAAUUUAAUUAGAUUUUAUGAUUUUAGCUCUAAAAUAUGUACAUAUCGCCCGUCACUCUUAUUAUAAGAUAAGAUAAGUCGUAACAUAGUAGAUGUACUGGAAAGUGUAUCUAGAAUGAA
rnacentral:ncRNA from 1 species